rnacentral:rRNA from 1 species
ACAGAGGUGGCAAGCGUUGUUCGGAAUUACUGGGCUUAAAGGGCGCGUAGGUGGUGAUAUAAGUCCGAGGUGGAAGACUGGGGCUUAACCUCAGAAUUGCCUUGGAUACUGUAUGACUUGAGUCAGCGAGGGGAUGGCGGAAUUCCAGGUGUAGCGGUGAAAUGCGUAGAUAUCUGGAGGAAGGCCGGUGGCGAAGGCGGCCAUCUGGCGCUGAACUGACACUGAGGCGCGAAAGCGUGGGGAGCAAACAGGAUUAGAUACCCUGGUAGUCCACGCCCUAAACGGUGGGUACUAGGUGUAGGGCUCGUAAGGGUUCUGUGCCGAAGGGAAACCAUUAAGUACCCCGCCUGGGAAGUACGGCCGCAAGGUUG